rnacentral:rRNA from 1 species
AUUGCCCUAGUAACGGCGAGUGAAGCGGCAACAGCUCAAAUUUGAAAUCUGGCGUCUUUGGCGUCCGAGUUGUAAUUUGCAGAGGGCGCUUUGGCAUUGGCAGCGGUCCAAGUUCCUUGGAACAGGACGUCACAGAGGGUGAGAAUCCCGUACGUGGUCGCUAGCCUUUACCGUGUAAAGCCCCUUCGACGAGUCGAGUUGUUUGGGAAUGCAGCUCUAAAUGGGAGGUAAAUUUCUUCUAAAGCUAAAUACUGGCCAGAGACCGAUAGCGCACAAGUAGAGUGAUCGAAAGAUGAAAAGCACUUUGGAAAGAGAGUUAAAAAGCACGUGAAAUUGUUGAAAGGGAAGCGCUUGCAGCCAGACUUGCCUGUAGUUGCUCAUCCGGGUUUUUACCCGGUGCACUCUUCUAUAGGCAGGCCAGCAUCAGUUUGGGCGGUUGGAUAAAGGUCUCUGUCAUGUACCUCUCUUCGGGGAGAACUUAUAGGGGAGACGACAUGCAACCAGCCUGGACUGAGGUCCGCGCAUCUGCUAGGAUGCUGGCGUAAUGGCUGUAAGCGGCCCGUCUUGAAACACGGACCAAGGAGUCUAACAUCUAUGCGAGUGUUUGGGUGUCAAGCCCGAACGCGUAAUGAAAGUGAACGGAGGUGGGAACCUUUCGGGGUGCACCAUCGACCGAUCCUGAUGUCUUCGGAUGGAUUUGAGUAAGAGCAUAGCUGUUGGGACCCGAAAGAUGGUGAACUAUGCUUGAAUAGGGUGAAGCCAGAGGAAACUCUGGUGGAGGCUCGCAGCGGUUCUGACGUGCAAAUCGAUCGUCAAAUUUGGGCAUAGGGGCGAAAG